rnacentral:lncRNA from 1 species
CUUAUACGUUCUGUUGCCACCGGCAUAUAUGUGCACGAGUUCCUCAUCGCACUUCGUGCUUUUCAUUACCUCCUGGCUUCAUUCUGCGAACCAAUUCUCUUUGCGGAACCACAAUAAAAGUUUCAACGCUU